CCUACGGGCGGCAGCAGUGGGGAAUAUUGGACAAUGGGGGGAACCCUGAUCCAGCCAUACCGCGUGUGUGAAGAAGGCCCUCGGGUUGUAAAGCACUUUCAGUGAGGAAGAACGCCUGGUGGUUAAUACCCAUCAGGAAAGACAUCACUCACAGAAGAAGCACCGGCUAACUCCGUGCCAGCAGCCGCGGUAAUACGGAGGGUGCGAGCGUUAAUCGGAAUUACUGGGCGUAAAGCGCGCGUAGGUGGCUUGAUAAGCCGGUUGUGAAAGCCCCGGGCUCAACCUGGGAACGGCAUCCGGAACUGUCAAGCUAGAGUGCAGGAGAGGAAGGUAGAAUUCCCGGUGUAGCGGUGAAAUGCGUAGAGAUCGGGAGGAAUACCAGUGGCGAAGGCGGCCUUCUGGACUGACACUGACACUGAGGUGCGAAAGCGUGGGUAGCAAACAGGAUUAGAUACCCCUGUAGUC
rnacentral:rRNA from 1 species